rfam:Glycine soja cultivar W05 scaffold1605_26, whole genome shotgun sequence.
AUACCUUUCUCGGCCUUUUGGCUAAGAUCAAGUGUAGUAUCUGUUCUUAUCAGAUUAAUAUCUGAUAUGUGGGUCAUUGGUUCAUUCUAUUCAGAUCAGAUCCUUUUUGAAAUGAAAGACUAUAA